AUUGAACGCUGGCGGCAGGCCUAACACAUGCAAGUCGAACGAGUGGCGGACGGGUGAGUAAUGUCUGGGAAACCGCCCGAUGGAGGGGGAUAACUACUGGAAACGGUAGCUAAUACCGCAUACCAUCGGAUGUGCCCAGAUGGGAUUAGCUUGUAGGUGAGGUAACGGCUCACCUAGGCGACGAUCCCUAGCUGGGCUGAGAGGAUGACCAGCGACACGGGAACGUAUACACGGUCCAGACUCCUACGGGAGGCAGCAGUGGGGAAUAUGGCACAAUGGUGGCAAGCCUUAUGCAGCCAUGCCGCGGGUAUGAAGAAGGCCUUCGGGUUGGAAAGUACUUUCAGCGGGGAGGCAUUACCCGCAGAAGAAGCACCGGCUAACUCCGUGCCAGCAGCCGCGGUAAUAC
rnacentral:rRNA from 1 species